CAGCACAGCGCGAGCAGCAGCCAGAGCGCCCAGCGCGCGGACGUGCCCAUGGUGCCCGCCUGGAUGGUGCUGCCGCCGCCGCUCGCUCCGCACAACAAGUUACCAGCCCUUCGGAAAGGAGGAAGGAGGGAAGGAACAAAAGACGGGGAACAAACGACGUCUGUAUAUGAAGAAAUGACAGAUGACCAUGGAUUAAGUGCCAACCUUGAUGAUUUACACAAGAAGGCCAAAGCAACUCAAGGAAGAGUGAGACCCCUAGAAUCUUUCAUGGAGGCCCCACGAUUGAUACAGAGGACUGUCAUAUGAACCAGAGAGGGUACCUGAAACCAAAGAGAGGACUCUAGUGUGUAGCCAAAGGCAUGCCUCCAGGGGUGAGAAGGAGCAGAUAUCUUGACAAACAGGGCAUCAGACCAGCUGUGCGUGGUCAGCCUCUGAUUUGGGCCCAAAAGGAAAAGAAAAUCAGAGGAGACAGUGACUCUCAGACUCUUCCUUGUUAAUGAGCAAGAGUUCCCUGGAUCCAAGAGGCCUUUGCCUUCUGGCUUGCAGCUUCACAUUUGCAAGGUGGCUGCUGCACAUCUAACCUUUACACCCACAUUCCAGGCAGGAAUACUUGGAAAGAAUAAGGGGAACUAUGUAGCUGACAAAGAAUUCAUUGACUUUUCCGGGGGGAGAAAUACCUGAUUUCUGAACAUAGUCUAUAUCCUGAACAGUUUCCUAGAGAUGAUGUAACUGAUUAAUUUUUAUAAAGCACUCCAAGUGUCACAUAGUAAGUUUUGGUGUUUCCAAGUGCCUAAAGAGUCUUAUACGGUGACAAGCCACAUUGGUGUAGGACCCCCACAUUUAUGACCUCAUUUACCUUGGAGAUCCAACCAGUCCAUACUGAAGGAAACCAGUCUUGGAUAUUCAUUGGAAGGACUAAUGCUAAAGCUGAAACUCCAAUAGUUUGGCCACCUGAGGCAAGGAACUGACUC